UGUAUUAUAUAUGGUUUGUGACAUAACCUAACGAUCAUUUACGUCAUUUGGAUUGUUGUAUUAGAGUAAUAAGAAUAAGUAUAUAAAGAGUGCUGCUGCUUGCGGUCAAUAAUAAGAGGAGCUUGUGAAAUUAAUAAUUUUUUUCGAAAAAUAGUUAUCGAAGUCAAGAUAAUGACUUUUCUAUAUAACUUUUUUAAAAGAUCUUCUACAUUCACAUUGGGCAUUCUAGCAGCCACCUUUUUCUUCGAACGAGGAUUUGAUAUGAUUGGGGAUAAAAUAUUCGACAGGCUGAAUGAGGGGAAACUGUGGAAACAUAUUAAACAUCAAUAUGAAGAAAAGUAAUCAAAAGUGUUAAUUAUGUUAUGUUAGAUGUGUAUGUUUGUGUAUAUCAUAUAGAUAUGCUAUUGUAUAAAUAAAGAACAAUUCGAAUAAAAAUAUGAUAUAAAUUUAUAUUGUUUAUAGAAACGAAAUUUCCUCUAUCACGGUAGUGUAAGUUUGUAUGUUAAGAAAUGUGAACGUAACGAAAACGAAAGAUCUGUACCCAAAACCUUGCGCGUCGAUGAGAGACAGGGGAGAGGGGAAUACCGAUUACCCCACUCUUUACGAAACAAAUCAUCACUGACCGUCAAUAAAAUAAGACUGGUGUGUUUCAAUUUUCGUCACACUCUCAGUUGUAGGCUGUAGCAAAGCAUCAGUAAAGUAAGUGUACAAUAUUUUUUAUUUAUCUUUACAGUAACUUACUAUCUAUAUUCGUCUACGUGUAUUUGUAUGGAAAAAACUUCCUUAAACAUUGUCGUUGACUUUAGUACGUUAUUCUCUUAGUUAAUUUUUGACAUUUAACGCGAAAUAAAAUAAUAAAUUUCCUUGUUUUCAUUCUACGUUUAUUCCACAAUUUCCCUUUUUCUCCCGUUCUCUUUAACUUAAAAGUUUCCAACAUGCGUGAUGGUCGCGUAUUAUGUUUUUAAAUAUAAUAUUUAAAUAUCAUUUGUGUUUAUGUUUUUUAUUUACUGUCAAAAUAAAAAUCACAUAUAUUAUUAAUAUUUUCAUAUAACUUUUAAUUAUAUAACAUAACACAAACUAAUUUAAACGUAAACAGUCGGUACUACUUACAGUGGUUCGAUAAAACGACCGGAAAAUAAAGUCAUGUUUAAAACGGAAUCAAUAAUCAUAAAAAGAAAUGGUCUGUCCAUUUUAACGUCGUUACUCCAUGAUGACAGAAGCUUAUAUCCGAUUUCUGUAACAGUAUUCUAUCACUAUAUUUUUGUAACUAUUUUAUAGACGAAUCAAAUUAAAAAAGAAA
rnacentral:misc_RNA from 1 species